GACCCGCACAAGCGGUGGAUGAUGUGGUUUAAUUCGAUGCAACGCGAAAAACCUUACCCACCUUUGACAUGGCAGAAAUCCUUUAGAGAUAGAGGAGUGCUCGAAAGAGAAUCUGCACACAGGUGCUGCAUGGCUGUCGUCAGCUCGUGUCGUGAGAUGUUGGGUUAAGUCCCGCAACGAGCGCAACCCUUGCCAUUAGUUGCUACAUUUAGUUGGGCACUCUAAUGGGACUGCCGGUGACAAACCGGAGGAAGGUGGGGAUGACGUCAAGUCCUCAUGGCCCUUAUAGGUGGGGCUACACACGUCAUACAAUGGCUGGUACAAAGGGUUGCCAACCCGCGAGGGGGAGCUAAUCCCAUAAAGCCAGUCGUAGUCCGGAUCGCAGUCUGCAACUCGACUGCGUGAAGUCGGAAUCGCUAGUAAUCGUGGAUCAGAAUGUCACCGGUGAAUACGUUCCCGGGUCUUGUAUCACACCGCCCGUCACAACCAUGGGACGCGGGUUCUGCCAGAAGUAGGGUAGCCUAACCGUAAGGAGGGCGCUAC
rnacentral:rRNA from 1 species